rnacentral:rRNA from 1 species
AGCUCCAAUAGCGUAUAUUAAAGUUGUUGCAGUUAAAAAGCUCGUAGUUGGAUUUCGGACUGGGAGAGGACGGUCUGCCGCGAGGUGUGUUACUGUCUUCUCCUGUCUUCUUCUCAGAGGCCUGCGGUGCAAUUAGUUUUGUGCCGUUUGGAAUUUGAGACGUUUACUUUGAAAAAAUUAGAGUGUUCAAAGCAGGCAUUACGCGCCCGAAUACAUGAGCAUGGAAUAAUGGAAUAGGACUUUGGUCUCCUUUGUUGGUUUGAGGGACUAGAGUAAUGAUUAAUAGGGACAGUUGGGGGCAUUAGUAUUUAAUUGUCAGAGGUGAAAUUCUCGGAUUUGUUAAAGACUAACUUAUGCGAAAGCAUUUGCCAAGGAUGUUUUCAUUAAUCAAGAACGAAAG